UCCUACGGGAGGCAGCAGUAGGGAAUCUUCCGCAAUGGACGAAAGUCUGACGGAGCAACGCCGCGUGAGUGAUGAAGGCUUUCGGGUCGUAAAACUCUGUUGUUAGGGAAGAACAAGUGCUAGUUGAAUAAGCUGGCACCUUGACGGUACCUAACCAGAAAGCCACGGCUAACUACGUGCCAGCAGCCGCGGUAAUACGUAGGUAGCAAGCGUUAUCCGGAAUUAUUGGGCGUAAAGCGCGCGCAGGUGGUUUCUUAAGUCUGAUGUGAAAGCCCACGGCUCAACCGUGGAGGGUCAUUGGAAACUGGGAGACUUGAGUGCAGAAGAGGAAAGUGGAAUUCCAUGUGUAGCGGUGAAAUGCGUAGAGAUAUGGAGGAACACCAGUGGCGAAGGCGACUUUCUGGUCUGUAACUGACACUGAGGCGCGAAAGCGUGGGGAGCAAACAGGAUUAGAUACCCUGGUAGUCCACGCCGUAAACGAUGAGUGCUAAGUGUUAGAGGGUUUCCGCCCUUUAGUGCUGAAGUUAACGCAUUAAGCACUCCGCCUGGGGAGUACGGCCGCAAGGCUGAAACUCAAAGGAAUU
rnacentral:rRNA from 1 species